rnacentral:rRNA from 1 species
UGGGGAAUAUUGCACAAUGGGCGCAAGCCUGAUGCAGCCAUGCCGCGUGUAUGAAGAAGGCCUUCGGGUUGUAAAGUACUUUCAGCGAGGAGGAAGGCAUUGAGGUUAAUAACCUCAGUGAUUGACGUUACUCGCAGAAGAAGCACCGGCUAACUCCGUGCCAGCAGCCGCGGUAAUACGGAGGGUGCAAGCGUUAAUCGGAAUUACUGGGCGUAAAGCGCACGCAGGCGGUCUGUCAAGUCGGAUGUGAAAUCCCCGGGCUCAACCUGGGAACUGCAUUCGAAACUGGCAGGCUAGAGUCUUGUAGAGGGGGGUAGAAUUCCAGGUGUAGCGGUGAAAUGCGUAGAGAUCUGGAGGAAUACCGGUGGCGAAGGCGGCCCCCUGGACAAAGACUGACGCUCAGGUGCGAAAGCGUGGGGAGCAAACAGG